rnacentral:tRNA from 1 species
UGGGGUAUGGUGCAAUGGCAGCACGCCUGACUCUGGAUCAGGUAAUCGAGGUUCAAAUCCUUGUACCCCAGCCA